AGCGAACGCUGGCGGCAGGCUUAACACAUGCAAGUCGAGCGGGCACUUCGGUGUCAGCGGCAGACGGGUGAGUAACACGUGGGAACGUACCCUUCGGUUCGGAAUAACGCUGGGAAACUAGCGCUAAUACCGAAUACGCCCUUUUGGGGAAAGGUUUACUGCCGAAGGAUCGGCCCGCGUCUGAUUAGCUAGUUGGUGGGGUAAUGGCCUACCAAGGCGACGAUCAGUAGCUGGUCUGAGAGGAUGAUCAGCCACACUGGGACUGAGACACGGCCCAGACUCCUACGGGAGGCAGCAGUGGGGAAUAUUGGACAAUGGGCGCAAGCCUGAUCCAGCCAUGCCGCGUGAGUGAUGAAGGCCUUAGGGUUGUAAAGCUCUUUUGUCCGGGACGAUAAUGACGGUACCGGAAGAAUAAGCCCCGGCUAACUUCGUG
rnacentral:rRNA from 1 species